CCAGAGAACUUAGCAGAGAUGCUUUGGUUCCUUCGGGAACUCUGAGACAGGUGCUGCAUGGCUGUCGUCAGCUCGUGUUGUGAAAUGUUGGGUUAAGUCCCGCAACGAGCGCAACCCUUAUCCUUUGUUGCCAGCGGUCCGGCCGGGAACUCAAAGGAGACUGCCAGUGAUAAACUGGAGGAAGGUGGGGAUGACGUCAAGUCAUCAUGGCCCUUACGAGUAGGGCUACACACGUGCUACAAUGGCGCAUACAAAGAGAAGCGACCUCGCGAGAGCAAGCGGACCUCAUAAAGUGCGUCGUAGUCCGGAUUGGAGUCUGCAACUCGACUCCAUGAAGUCGGAAUCGCUAGUAAUCGUAGAUCAGAAUGCUACGGUGAAUACGUUCCCGGGCCUUGUACACACCGCCCGUCACACCAUGGGAGUGGGUUGCAAAAGAAGUAGGUAGCUUAACCUUCGGGAGGGCGCUUACCACUUUGUGAUUCAUGACUGGGGUGAAGUCGUAACAAGGUAAGCGUAGCGAG
rnacentral:rRNA from 1 species